rfam:Brassica napus, WGS project CCCW01000000 data, contig: 6352
GGUUGGGUUACAGGGCAAAUACUCCAUUGGCAGAUAAUUUCCGCUACAUAUAUAUAUCAUUUGAAUAUUAGUUGCCUUAUAUAUAUGUAUGAAAGAAACACUUUACUGCCAAAGGAGAUUUGCCCCGCAAUCCAUCC